UAAGGCAGGGGGUUGUAGUCCUUAGCCUUUGCUCUCUGCAAGGCCUUCAGGGUCAAGGCCUGGAGCAGUCCAUUUGGGAACAUGGGUGUGGAGUGGGAGGAGAUAGAGAUGGAAGGGUCCACAGAAUGGGAGGAGGCUGAGAAGGAACGGUUCACAGGGUAUUGGCAUUGAAACCUCCUUGAUCACACCAGUAGGGGGCCUCCGGAUGCAGAGAUGAAAAGUCGAUGAUAGAACCGUCCCCUAGGUUAUACCACUGCGGGAGGCGCAGAUGGAACAGUCAGCUCUGGAGGGUACCACUAGGUAGGUGGCGUUUACUUUGGAAGAAACCACUGUGGGGUUGGAGGGGACACUACGGGCCGCUACCACCUUCCAUGUAGGGGGUUUUCUGCACAAGCUCGUGAUGGAGGCAGGAACGGCAGUCCGCAGCCCCCACCCAUCCUCUCGGUUCCCAUCCGAGUCCCGGGCAGGCACCCACUGUUGGAAUGAGGCCGCCAACUUGCCCAGGCUUCACUCGCAGCUUCUCAGUCUCUUCUUUUCUAGGUUCUUUACCUUUGAAUCGGCGGCUUGAGCGUGCAGGAGCAAGCGAUUGGAUCCGCGGAGAGGACAGUUUUUCCUCUGCACCCUCUUUUCCUUCGUCAUUUGAAUGACUACAGCUUUGCUCUGGUGAAUCAAAAGGAGUCGCUAUAGUUUCAUGAACCACCUGCGGAAGCUGCGGGACCAAGUUACAGAGGAGAGGGCCCCUGGGGGGCCAUAAUGAGUGUGCAGCUAUCAUGCCAGAAGCAGAAGACAUGACGAUGAAUAAGGCAAGGUCUAACCUGUUAAGGAAUCGGAUACAGUACCAGGGCCUGGAGGUAGCGUUGUGAAGAGGGAAAUGCACUGGCUAUGGAGGAGGAAAUGUUGAUCUGUGUUGGAGCUCUCUCAACUGACUGUGGAACCACAGAAAAGUCCCUCAUCCUACCUCAUUCCAGCAUCAUCCCCUGUCCUAUUGGACUAGUAAUGUUUAAUCUACCUCCUGUGAGCAACACCAACUCUUACUGGAAGGGUCAAAUUGAAAUAUGGAUGUGAAACUGACUUGAAAACUUAACAUGAUAUACAAAUGAAGUAUCUGGGAUUAAAACAAUGGUUUGCUGUUCUGUUGAGCUUUCAAGGGAAGAAAUACCACACAAUUCCUGAUUGAGAACAUUGGUUGAGGCCAGUGGUAAUUUAAACAAUUUUUAAAAUUUAACUUUAUUUUUUAGAGCAGUUUUUGGUUCACAGCAAAAUUGAGUGGAAGGUAUAGAGAGUUUCCGUAUACACCCUGCCCCGACCCAUGCACAGCCUCCCCUACUAUCAACAUCCCCCUGUAGAGUGGUACAUUGGUUACAAUUGAUGAGCCUGUGUUGACACAUUAUCACCUAAAGUCCAUAGUUUACCCCAGAGUUCACUCUUGGUGGUGUGCGUUCUGUGGGUUUGGACAAACAUAGUUACAUGUAUUCACCAUUAUAGGAUCAAACAGGGUAGUUCCAGCAGUGGUAAUUUUUACCUUGUCUUCUUAGGGGCAGUGCUAGCUCCAUUUCUGAAAGACUGAUUUGAAAAACCUCAAAGAUGAUUAAAAAUGCUGUUAAAAUCCCUGAAGUUUGGAGAGGGACUAUUAAUGCUACCCAUCAUCUUUCCUGGUUCUAUCACAAGCCCUCUAACUGGGAAGCACUCACAGUGGUUCUAAUUGUUCUCGUCUGAAAUCUCCAUAGCAAACUGGUCAACAUCGUUAUUUCACCGGAGAGGUCUGGAAGGGGAUCUCACACAUGGCCUCACAAGCUUUGAACUGUACAACUGCAGGGGGCACUAUUCACACAGACUAUGGCUUCAUCACACUCCUUGGAAUCGUGUAACAUGGAAACGCUGAUUCUGGGAAGGGUCUAAAGGAAUUGAUUUAGAAUUUUUUAGCUCUAUGUUUAACCAGGCUGUGCUAAAAUCAGAUUCUUUUUGUUUAUUUAUAGAGAUUUAUCUGAAUUGAAAGUUGUUUGCUCUUCUAUUCCAUGAGCAUCCAUCCAGCUGCCUGUCCACUGGUAAGCUGCAUAUAAAAUCAGAUUCUUGUAGUUAAAGUCAUUUUCGGAUUUCCCUGUGUCCAAAAAGUGUGAAAAGCAAUUUACUACAAAUCAUUUGCUAGAGAUAAGAGUUACUGAUCGUCUUUCUGUGGAACUGCUUUCUUUAUCAACAGUUUUUCUGACAUAGAGGGAUGGAGAGACUUACUCUUGAUGUUUAGAACUUCAAACAUGAUCACCCCAGGUGAAAGAUGCCCUUGAAUGGGGUGGGGAUAGGGACUCUUAAGGCCUCAAAUCAUAUUGUCAUGAGUGGCCACAGGUCCUCUUCCAGGAGUCUCCUUCUCACAGGGUUGACCUUGGGUAAAAAGGACAAGGUUUUUGAUUUUCAGUUAAGAAUAUGCCCAAGGGUGUAUGGGACCGUUCCAUUUUCAUGAUUCUUCUAUCCCUCAUUGCCAUCAGUAGCUGAGAGUUGAUGAUGUUGAAAUUACCAUGCUACCAAAUUGAAGGCCAAUGACACUCACUGUGUCAAUCAGAUUUCACUCAGUUAACUGAUUAGACAAAAUUUAAAUGUGGAAAAAUGCUUUUUAUUUUCUUAUUUAUACAUGUCAGUAAAGAGUCUUGGAGAGGGUGUAGCUCAGUGGUAGAGUGUGCAUAGCAUGCACCAGGACUUGGGUUCAGUCCCCAGUACCUCCAUUGAAAAAAUGAUAAAUAAACCUAAGUACCUCAGCCCACUGAAAAAAAAAGAAUUCUUAAUUAAGCCUUCAACAGAAAGCUUUCCAUAAGAUGGGCUUUUCCUUCAUCCUGAAUACUAUGUUAAAUAUCCUUUUCAUUCUAAAGUCAGGAAGGGAUGGCUGCUGACUGAUCACUUCAGUCAUGUCUACAUAACCUCCAUUUUUAAGAUCAUUGCCAUUGCAUUUUCUGUGCUUUAUACAUAGCCUUUGCCAUAUUGUUACCUUAGCUAGAUUAGGGCUACAGAGACUAACAAAAGUGGUGACUUGUAUUUUUCUCCAAGAAAGCAUUAAAAAAAUAGUCCCACAUAAUUUGCAAAAAAGGCAAUGGGUUUGAUCUGGGUAGACUGAAGAACUAACAAGAUCUUCAGAAAACCUUGGUCAUGCAUUUUGGUAAAUAAGUUUGGUCUCCUAGCAUUUUGUUUAUUUUGUGUACUUCAUUUCUUUUUAAAUCUUUUGGCGGGGGGAGGUAAUUAUGUUUAUUUAUUUAUUUUUAAAUUAAAAAAAUGGAGGUACUGAGGAUCGAACCCAGGACCUUGUGCAUACUAAGCACCCACUCUACCACUGAGCUAUACUCUACCCUCUCAUUUUUUUAAUCAUUGCUAAUUCCUGGAAAUAGGUGAUCCUCCUCAUGCUUUCGCUGCUGUAUUUGAAGUCACCCCUGCCCCUAUUGCUGGAUCUUCUCCUCUUCUUCCUGUCCUUCUCACUUUGCUAAUCUCUGAGAUCCCAGAGCUUGCAAUGCAGGGCCAGAGAGUGCAUAGACCACUGAGGGUCAGACCACUCAGCAUACAAUGUCCUUUAGUUUAUUUAUUUAAUGGAGGUACUGGGGACUGAACCCAGGACUUCGUACAUGCUAAGCAUGCGCUCUACCACUGAGCUAUGCCCCCUGCCCACAAUGUCCUCUAGAGGAGGGGGGUAUAUGGACAGAUGUGCUGGACUCAGCCAUCUUCUGCCUCCACAAAGCCUCUUUGUAUACACAGACUGGCAAAUGCGGUGUCUAAAUGACCAUACAAGUAGCCACUUCUUUCCUUUUAUUAAAGACACAUCCUGAAACACUUAGGAAAUUAAAGUGUAUGCUUUUGUUCUUCCUUUUAAAAGCACUGCUUGUCCAAACAGAAACAGAUUCACAGACAUAGAAAACAAACUUAUGG